rnacentral:rRNA from 1 species
GACGAACCGUGCGAACGUUGUUCGGAAUCACUGGGCUUAAAGGGCGCGUAGGCGGCUCGCCAAGUCAGGGGUGAAAUCUUUCGGCUCAACCGGAAAAGUGCCUCUGAUACUGGCGGGCUGGAGGGAGGUAGGGGCAUGUGGAACUUCCGGUGGAGCGGUGAAAUGCGUUGAUAUCGGAAGGAACGCCGGUGGCGAAAGCGACGUGCUGGACCUCUACUGACGCUGAGGCGCGAAGGCCAGGGGAGCAAACGGG